UAGAAGAUUGUGUAGUGGAAGCACGGAGGAUUUUGAUUUCUCAUGUACGGGUUCGAGUCCUGUUUUUCUAA
rnacentral:tRNA from 1 species